rnacentral:piRNA from 1 species
UGGGCAUAAGACAAUAUGAGGGGUGGUCUC